UCCUCGGUGGCGCAAUUGGCUAGCGCGUCUGACUGUUACCAUCCGUCAAGGAGGUUGCCAUCAGGAGGUUGAAAGUUCGAGCCUUUCCCGGGGAG